GGUGGUGCAUGGCUGUCGUCAGCUCGUGUCGUGAGAUGUUGGGUUAAGUCCCGCAACGAGCGCAACCCUUGUCCCGUGUUGCCAGCAGGCCCUUGUGGUGCUGGGGACUCACGGGAGACCGCCGGGGUCAACUCGGAGGAAGGUGGGGACGACGUCAAGUCAUCAUGCCCCUUAUGUCUUGGGCUGCACACGUGCUACAAUGGCCGGUACAAUGAGCUGCGAUACCGCGAGGUGGAGCGAAUCUCAAAAAGCCGGUCUCAGUUCGGAUUGGGGUCUGCAACUCGACCCCAUGAAGUCGGAGUCGCUAGUAAUCGCAGAUCAGCAUUGCUGCGGUGAAUACGUUCCCGGGCCUUGUAC
rnacentral:rRNA from 1 species